rnacentral:rRNA from 1 species
UUUAAAGAGAGUUUGAUCCUGGCUCAGGACGAACGCUGGCGGCGUGCCUAAUACAUGCAAGUCGAACGAACGGAGGAAGAGCUUGCUCUUCCAAUGUUAGUGGCGGACGGGUGAGUAACACGUGGGCAACCUGCCUGUAAGUUGGGGAUAACUCCGGGAAACCGGGGCUAAUACCGAAUAAUAAGAUGUGGCGCAUGCCACGCCUUUGAAAGAUGGUUUCGGCUAUCGCUUACAGAUGGGCCCGCGGUGCAUUAGCUAGUUGGUAGGGUAAUGGCCUACCAAGGCAACGAUGCAUAGCCGACCUGAGAGGGUGAUCGGCCACACUGGGACUGAGACACGGCCCAGACUCCUACGGGAGGCAGCAGUAGGGAAUCUUCCGCAAUGGACGAAAGUCUGACGGAGCAACGCCGCGUGUAUGAAGAAGGUUUUCGGAUCGUAAAGUACUGUUGUUAGAGAAGAACAAGGAUAAGAGUAACUGCUUGUCCCUUGACGGUAUCUAACCAGAAAGCCACGGCUAACUACGUGCCAGCAGCCGCGGUAAUACGUAGGUGGCAAGCGUUGUCCGGAUUUAUUGGGCGUAAAGCGCGCGCAGGCGGUCUUUUAAGUCUGAUGUGAAAGCCCCCGGCUUAACCGGGGAGGGUCAUUGGAAACUGGAAGACUGGAGUGCAGAAGAGGAGAGUGGAAUUCCACGUGUAGCGGUGAAAUGCGUAGAUAUGUGGAGGAACACCAGUGGCGAAGGCGACUCUCUGGUCUGUAACUGACGCUG